UGACGCAGUCGCCAUUGAAGCUGUGACACAACAAACAACAUGAAGUCAACAGCAUUUACUGACAAGAAACAACACAGUUAGCUCGUGUGUGGCUAAUGACAGUUAGCUGAAGUGUUGUUGUGAGAGCAGUUAGCAUGUAGCUGAGGAGAGAAGUCAAACUAAAAGACCAGACAGAAACAAGAGCAGAGGAUUAGCAUGGAUGUGGACACUUCAUUACCAUGAUGGACGUCAAAUAACGUCCAUAAACAUUUCAUCAAUAUGUCAAGAGACCAAAUCAGCCUCAUCAAACAUUCAUUCUCACAUGGCAGCUGUUCCUUGAAUGAAUUACCUGCGAGCUAUCGCCAGGCUCCCACGCUUUUUUCUCCAAACCACCCAUUGGCUUCUGAGGAGAAUGCAGCACAGACAGAGUUCGAAUAUCCAGAGUCAAAAUCUGAAAUUUGACCGAAAGAAAUUCUGUUAUUUUGCAUCCCAGUAGUUUUACGAGUUUCCAUCUUAUGUAACCACCAUCAUCA